UUGACGUUAGCGGCGGACGGGUGAGUAACACGUGGGUAACCUACCUAUAAGACUGGGAUAACUUCGGGAAACCGGAGCUAAUACCGGAUAACAUUUGGAACCGCAUGGUUCUAAAGUGAAAGAUGGUUUUGCUAUCACUUAUAGAUGGACCCGCGCCGUAUUAGCUAGUUGGUAAGGUAACGGCUUACCAAGGCGACGAUACGUAGCCGACCUGAGAGGGUGAUCGGCCACACUGGAACUGAGACACGGUCCAGACUCCUACGGGAGGCAGCAGUAGGGAAUCUUCCGCAAUGGGCGAAAGCCUGACGGAGCAACGCCGCGUGAGUGAUGAAGGGUUUCGGCUCGUAAAACUCUGUUAUUAGGGAAGAACAAACGUGUAAGUAACUGUGCACGUCUUGACGGUACCUAAUCAGAAAGCCACGGCUAACUACGUGCCAGCAGCCGCGGUAAUACGUAGGUGGCAAGCGUUAUCCGGAAUUAUUGGGCGUAAAGCGCGCGUAGGCGGUUUCUUAAGUCUGAUGUGAAAGCCCACGGCUCAACCGUGGAGGGUCAUUGGAAACUGGGAAACUUGAGUGCAGAAGAGGAAAGUGGAAUUCCAUGUGUAGCGGUGAAAUGCGCAGAGAUAUGGAGGAACACCAGUGGCGAAGGCGACUUUCUGGUCUGUAACUGACGCUGAUGUGCGAAAGCGUGGGGAUCAAACAGGAUUAGAUACCCUGGUAGUCCACGCCGUAAACGAUGAGUGCUAAGUGUUAGGGGGUUUCCGCCCCUUAGUGCUGCAGCUAACGCAUUAAGCACUCCGCCUGGGGAGUACGACCGCAAGGUUGAAACUCAAAGGAAUUGACGGGGACCCGCACAAGCGGUGGAGCAUGUGGUUUAAUUCGAAGCAACGCGAAGAACCUUACCAAAUCUUGACAUCCUUUGAAAACUCUAGAGAUAGAGCCUUCCCCUUCGGGGGACAAAGUGACAGGUGGUGCAUGGUUGUCGUCAGCUCGUGUCGUGAGAUGUUGGGUUAAGUCCCGCAACGAGCGCAACCCUUAAGCUUAGUUGCCAUCAUUAAGUUGGGCACUCUAGGUUGACUGCCGGUGACAAACCGGAGGAAGGUGGGGAUGACGUCAAAUCAUCAUGCCCCUUAUGAUUUGGGCUACACACGUGCUACAAUGGACAAUACAAAGGGCAGCUAAACCGCGAGGUCAUGCAAAUCCCAUAAAGUUGUUCUCAGUUCGGAUUGUAGUCUGCAACUCGACUACAUGAAGCU
rnacentral:rRNA from 1 species